AGCAGCAGAAACAGGAGGAGAAAUCAUAAGUACAGUACACCCUAAUCACUUCAAGCGAAAGAGGAGAGAGAAAGUUCACCCAGCACCUAUGGAGUUAGAAGAGCUAGCAGUUGUUUUUGCAAAUAAAAUUUUCUCAAAGAAAAAAGAGUGAAAUCCUUGUGGAUUCUGUGCAAAGUAAACUUCAUCUAAAAGAUGCAACAAUGCAACUUCUUUAUAGGAAAAAUUGGAACCAAUUA
rnacentral:misc_RNA from 1 species